rnacentral:rRNA from 1 species
GAUGAACGCUGGCGGCGUGCCUAAUACAUGCAAGUCGAGCGAACGGACGAGAAGCUUGCUUCUCUGAUGUUAGCGGCGGACGGGUGAGUAACACGUGGAUAACCUACCUAUAAGACUGGGAUAACUUCGGGAAACCGGAGCUAAUACCGGAUAAUAUUUUGAACCGCAUGGUUCAAAAGUGAAAGACGGUCUUGCUGUCACUUAUAGAUGGAUCCGCGCUGCAUUAGCUAGUUGGUAAGGUAACGGCUUACCAAGGCAACGAUGCAUAGCCGACCUGAGAGGGUGAUCGGCCACACUGGAACUGAGACACGGUCCAGACUCCUACGGGAGGCAGCAGUAGGGAAUCUUCCGCAAUGGGCGAAAGCCUGACGGAGCAACGCCGCGUGAGUGAUGAAGGUCUUCGGAUCGUAAAACUCUGUUAUUAGGGAAGAACAUAUGUGUAAGUAACUGUGCACAUCUUGACGGUACCUAAUCAGAAAGCCACGGCUAACUACGGGCCAGCAGCCGCGGUAAUACGUAGGUGGCAAGCGUUAUCCGGAAUUAUUGGGCGUAAAGCGCGCGUAGGCGGUUUUUUAAGUCUGAUGUGAAAGCCCACGGCUCAACCGUGGAGGGUCAUUGGAAACUGGAAAACUUGAGUGCAGAAGAGGAAAGUGGAAUUCCAUGUGUAGCGGUGAAAUGCGCAGAGAUAUGGAGGAACACCAGUGGCGAAGGCGACUUUCUGGUCUGUAACUGACGCUGAUGUGCGAAAGCGUGGGGAUCAAACAGGAUUAGAUACCCUGGUAGUCCACGCCGUAAACGAUGAGUGCUAAGUGUUAGGGGGUUUCCGCCCCUUAGUGCUGCAGCUAACGCAUUAAGCACUCCGCCUGGGGAGUACGACCGCAAGGUUGAAACUCAAAGGAAUUGACGGGGACCCGCACAAGCGGUGGAGCAUGUGGUUUAAUUCGAAGCAACGCGAAGAACCUUACCAAAUCUUGACAUCCUUUGACAACUCUAGAGAUAGAGCUUUCCCCUUCGGGGGACAAAGUGACAGGUGGUGCAUGGUUGUCGUCAGCUCGUGUCGUGAGAUGUUGGGUUAAGUCCCGCAACGAGCGCAACCCUUAAGCUUAGUUGCCAUCAUUAAGUUGGGCACUCUAAGUUGACUGCCGGUGACAAACCGGAGGAAGGUGGGGAUGACGUCAAAUCAUCAUGCCCCUUAUGAUUUGGGCUACACACGUGCUACAAUGGACAAUACAAAGGGCAGCGAAACCGUGAGGUCAAGCAAAUCCCAUAAAGUUGUUCUCAGUUCGGAUUGUAGUCUGCAACUCGACUACAUGAAGCUGGAAUCGCUAGUAAUCGUAGAUCAGCAUGCUACGGUGAAUACGUUCCCGGGUCU